rnacentral:rRNA from 1 species
UUGUAAUUUGCAGAGGGUGUUUCGGGCGCGAUGCCGGUCUAAGUUACUAGGAACAGGACGUCGUAGAGGGUGAGAAUCCCGUAUGCGACCGGCGAUCAAGCCCGUGCGAAGCCCCUUCGACGAGUCGAGUUGUUUGGGAAUGCAGCUCAAAAUGGGUGGUAAAUUUCAUCUAAAGCUAAAUACCGGCCAGAGACCGAUAGCGGACAAGUAGAGUGAUCGAAAGAUGAAAAGCACUUUGGAAAGAGAGUCAAACAGUACGUGAAAUUGUUGAAAGGGAAGCGCUUGCGAUCAGACCGGUCCGCCGGCGAUCAGCCGCUGCUCGUCAGCGGUGCACUCGCCGGCGAUCCGGCCAGCAUCGGUUUGGGCGGCGGGACAAAAGCCCCGGGAACGUAGCUUCCCUCGUGAGUCUUAUAGCCCGGGGCGCCAUGCCGCCCGCCCGGACCGAGGACCGCGCUCG